GUUUUAGUAAUUUAAUAAAAAUAUUAGAUUUGUAAUCUAAAAUUAGGACUAACCUUUAAAACU
rnacentral:tRNA from 2 species